rnacentral:lncRNA from 1 species
UUGCACCAUCUUGUCACGUCCUGACCAGUAGAGGGUGUAGUUGGGUCAGGACGUGGCAGAAGGGUGUGUGUUUUUGAUUGUUUCGUUGAUUUUGGCCGUGUGACUUCCAAUCAGGCACAGCUGUAGAGGGUUGUGGUUGAUUGGGAGUCACACAUAAGUUGCCUACGUUUCCUUUGUGUUUCGUGGGUAAUUGUUCUUGUCAUAGUGGUUGCACCUGACAGGACUGUGUUGGCUGUCAGUUUUCUUGUUUUGUUAAAUUGUAUAGUGUUCCGUUGAUUAAAAUAUGACGAACCCUAACUCCGCCGCAUUUUGGUCCACUUCCUCAGACAGCUGUUACAGAAUUACCCACCAAACCAGGACCAAGCGGCGGAAGAGGAAGGAGCAGCAGGAGUACAGCGUGAUGGACCAAUGGACUUGGGAACAAAUCCUGGACGGAGAGGGACCAUGGACUCAGGCUGGGGAUUAUCGCCUCCCGCAGUGGGAGAUUGAAGCGGCGAGAGCGGAGAGGCGCUAUUACGAGGAGAGAGAGCGCAACGAGGCAGCCCCAAUAAAAACAUUUUGGGGGGGGGCACACGGGACAGUCGGUGGAGCGGAGGUCGGAACCAGAGCCAGUCGGGCUGACAUGGGAGGUGAGCGAGGGGUACGAGGCAGAGACUGUGACAGAGUUAAUGGGUAAAUUAAAGGAGAGAGAGAUGAGAGAGCUGCUAGUGUGGUGCAUAAAGUACGGCAUUCGCCCUAAUGAGCGUGUCGUGGGAAUGAUGUCACCUGAGGCAGCUCUCCAUACUCGUCCUGAGGUGCGUGCUGGUUGUCUGAUAAAGACUGUGCCUGCGCCCAGAAACAGGCCUCCUGCAUGUCUUCCCAGCCCUGCACGUCCUGUGCCUACGCCCAGAACCAGGCCUCCUGCAUGUCUUCCCAUCCUGGUCAAACCCGUGCCUUCUCCACGGACCAGUCCUCCAGUGGGUCUCCUCCAGUGGGUCUCCCCAUCCUGGUCAAACCCGUGCCUCCUCCACGGACCAGUCCUCCAGUGGGUCUCUCCACCCUGGUCUCUCCUGUGCCACCUCCUCAAACCAGGCCUCCAGCGGGUCUUCCCAGACUGCUAAGUCCCCUCCUGUUCCCUGAUUAAGAAGUGAUGACCAGUCCACUCCACUACCUUUGUCAACUCUCGCCUGACAUGAACUGAAGCCACGUCUCAUGUGCCCUCUCAUCCACAGGCACAUUGAAUGUUUCCUCUCCAAGCACUUUUUUUGUCUUCCCAGUCAAAUCCUGUCCUGCCCUCAGUGGAAGAGUUGAGCUCUUCUCCAACACCAUCCAUCCAUGAUGAGCCUGCGAAGGUUUACCUUCCAACAGGACAACGACCCUAAGAAUACAGCCAAGACAACGCAUGAGUGGCUUCAGGACAAGUCUCUGAAUGUCCUUGAGUGGCCCAGCCAGAGCCUGGACUUGAACCCAAUCAAACCUAUCUGGAGAGACCUGAAAAUAGCUGUGCAGUGACAAUCCCCAUCCAACCUGACAGCUUAUGAGGAUCUGCAAAGAAGAAUGGGAGAAACUCCCCAAAUACAUGUGUGCCAAACUUUUAGCUUCAUUCCCAAGAAGACUCAAGGCUGUAAUCACUGCCAAAGAGGCUUCAACAAAGUACUGAGUAAAGGGCCUGAAUGCUUAGGUUAAUGUGAUAUUUCAGUUUUACAUUUCAGUCAAUACAUUUGCAAAAAUUUCUAAACACCUGUUUUUGCAUUGUCAUUAUGGGUUAUUGUGUGUGUAGAUUGAUGAGGGAAAUAAACAAUUUAAUCAAUUUUAGAAUAAGGCUGUAAAGUAACAAAAUGUAGAAAAAGUGAAGGGGUCUGAAUACUUUCCAAAUGCACUGUAAAUGUCUUUAUUAAAUGCUAUAGGUUAAAAUAAUUCGUCUUUGACGAUUUUUUAAACACACUUUGUCGUCUCCAUGAAGUCUACGCCUAUACCGUGGGUCUCCCAUCCUCCUCAUUUUUCAACUCAGCAGCCUCCACUGGUAUGCAUAGAUGGGUUGGCUGACAACAUCACAAAAAUUAAAUACAUGCAUCGAUGAGGCAGAAGUAUCAUGUCCUGACCAGCGAAAAGGGUCAUUUUUCCAUAGUAGAAUGGUCAGGGCGUGGCAGAGCAGUUGUUUUGUGUGUUUUGGGGUUGGUUUGUUUCUAGGGGAAUUGGUUCUAGUUUUCUGUUUCUAUGUUUCAUUUUCCAUGUGUGGCCGAGUAUGGUUUCCAAUCAGAGGCAGGUGUCUUUCGUUGUCUCUGAUUGGAAGCCAUACUUAGGCAGCCUGUUUUCCUUUGGGUUUUGUGGGUGUUUGUUUUCCGUUUAGUUGCUGUACCUGACGGAACUGUUGGUCGUUUGUUUUUUUUGUUUAAGUGUUCUCAUAUAAUAAAUUAAGAAUGAGCACUAUCCACGCUGCG